UCCUCCAUUGCUGUGCCCACUGGGUCUGCGUUCUGUCCCUGGCGAACAGAGAGCAUCUUCUGACAGCAGCCGCGACAGCAGGCGGUGAGGUGCAGAUCUAAAGGUCAUGCCACACUCCGGUACUCUCGGGGAUUGUUUUUAAACUAGCUGCCUCCUGGCCUCGGAUGUUCGCUGCAAAAGGGGGCAAAAAAAUUAAACGAGCGGCAAGAUUUUACCUUUUUUAGGCAGACGAUCUUCUGAAAAUGUUAGCUUUUUAUAAUGUGAAACAAGGCUGUGUCUUUCAGCUCCCAUGUUCCAACAGUUGGUGUGUUGAUUUUAUUCUUGAAAUAACAUGCUAAACAAUGGCAUAGGAUGCUUCGGACCACCCCUUUGGAUCAUCCUUUGCGGCUUCGCUCCAAGUUUCCUCGCUCUGGACCCCUGCACGUGCGUCUGGACAGAGUUUUGGUUUCGUUCUCGCCUGCCUGUGCACAGCCUGCUCAGCCCCUGCUCCUCCAAUCGCAUUCCGCCUCCCGCCUCCAGACCCGAGACUUUCAUCAGCUGACUGCGGACGUGUUGCAUUUUAGUCAUGUUAUCUUGCAAUCGAGUGAGUUUUUAUAAGGAAAACUUUGACUUGUCUGUUGCUCAUCAGUUAUAGACUACAGAAUGUUCCUUUUUUGUAAAUCAGGACCACCACCAUAUUUGUUUUACAUCUGAGGUACAAAUGGUAACUAGUUUUUCUUUAAUCUUGGUGACAAUGAUACAUUCUUAUUUUACAGUGUAAGUUAGCAGAGACAAAUACUGCGAACGGAGUGGAUCAUCUUUCUCAGAUUCGACCUUUCAACAUCUCAUCAGGAAUGUUCAGGGGUGUCAUGCAGGACCCCUUACUUACAAAGGAGGAGGUUCGUUGGGCAUGUGGUAUACUGUACAUCUUUAAAAAAGCUGAAUGCGAUAUUCAUUCUGGCUUUGGGAUACAUGCACAUACAUGCUCCUUUAGAAUCACAGCUACGGUUUUGCGGUUCUGUGGGGCUUUAUGAACAGUGAAGUGGAGACGUGGUGCUCUGUCACUCUGAAAUGCAUUUUGUUUUGCAAAAGAGGAAGAUCUGGUUUGACAGAUUUGCACUGUGGAAAUUAUUGUUUUUAUAUUUUACAUCGCUGUGUUUAAACAUCACAUAAAUGCCUACUUGAAUGGAUCCCUUCUGCUGCUCGCAAAAAAUCAUACGAUUUCAUACCAGCAUAGCUACACCACGCCCAUCAGGGGGCGGUCAUAGUAGUCUUGCGUAGUCCUGUUACACUUGGGUCAUGUGGUGUGUGUAAUCCCAUUCUUAUUAGACAGAGGCAGUGUGGAUUACAGGAUGGCAGUGAACCCAUUGCACGGAUCUCCCUUUGUUUAUUUUCUAUUAAAAUGUACCCUUCAUCAGUCACGGCCUUAAAGAGCAAACUAAUGAACAGUCACAGAGCUCACACGUUCCGCUUUCUCAGGACAAGGAUUUUGCACGCUUGAGCUGUUUUGAUUUUGAAUUGUUUUUUUUAUUUGGAGGUUAAAGCAGAAUAGAAUAAAGUUUUAUUUUUUAAGGAAUGGGUAAGGGGGCUCCACAGCCAAAAUAUUGGGUUUCUUUUACUUUCCUUUCAGUACAGAAUGAACCUUUACCUGUUCUGUUGCAGCCUGCGCAUGCUGACGCAGCUUCUUACUCGAAAGUUUGAUUUGGUCCCCUAACCUUUGCAACUAAAACCCAUUACAAAACUAAAGGCUCAUUGGAAGGGAGAGUUACAUCUCUACUAAUAGUCUUAUGUUUUAUAAAGUCCUGUUCAUUAUACAUCAAUUCAAGGUACUUUAAGACAUAACAAAAGGGAAAAGUAUUCAUAGAGCUAAUACUGUAAAUUAAACUACUAAAUACUAGAGUAUAAAUGUACAUUUUAAGACGGGAAUAAAAGAACAGGAAGAUCGAAAACAGACCUCAAAGACGAUAGUUAAUGAUAUGAAGGUACGCAGGAAAUUAAUCCUUUCAUGGUGAGCAGGAACAUUUAGAAUUUUAUUCUGAAAUAUAGAGGAAUAAUUCCUCACAGUUAUAUAGUGCUUUUCUGGACACUCCACUCAAAGCACUUUUACAGGUAAUGGGGAUCCCCUCCACCACCACCAAUGUGCAGCCCCACCUGGAUGAUGCGACAGCAGCCAGAGUGCACCAGUAUGCUCCCCACACACCAGCUCUCAGUGGGGAGGAGACCAGAGUGAUGAAGCCAGUUCAGAGAUGGGGAUUAUUAGGAGGCCAUGAUUAGUAAAGGCCAGGGGGAAAUUUGGUCAGGACAGCAGGGUAACGCUCAAGCUCUUUUCAAGAAAUGUCCUGCUCCUCAUUCAUAGGAAUGGCGCCUUUUUACAGCACAGUGUCCCCAUCACUAUGCUGGGGCAUUAGGACCCACACGGACUGCAGGGUGAGCGCCCCCUGCUGGACCCACUAACACCUCUUCCAGCAGCAAGCUUAGUUUUUCCCAGGAGUCUCCCAUCCAGGUACUGGCCAGGCUCACAGUGCAGAGCUCCAGUGGGCUGCCAGCUGUGAGCUGUGAGCUGCAGGGUGAUAUGGCUGCUGGCUAGAGAAAGCAGAGGAAGGAAGCUGAAGUAGCUUAUAUACAGUACGCUCUUGCAUUGAAGUUUUAGUUGAGAUCCAAGUAGUUCUGAAUGUGUUUGGAUAUACAGUAUGAAUAUCAACCUCUCCAAAAAAUAAAAUCCACAGUGUUUAACUGAUGUAUAACUACAGCUGUUCACAUUGACACUGUAUUCC
rnacentral:lncRNA from 1 species